UUUUUGUUUUGGGGUUCCAGGGAACAUAUAUUUAGUCUUACAAAUAAACUUCCUUUUAACUCACACAAGCUCUAGUUAGCUUCUGCUAUUUCCUUUCAACAUACUGUAUUACCUGCUUCCUGAGCAGGGUCCAUGAUGAGUUUGUGCACUAAGACUGAGUAACAUCUAGCACUGAGGAUUGACUGCUGGCAUGAGAUACACAGCUGAGUCCUGCAGCACUGUGGGCUGGAUCUCCAGGCAGCAGGACAUCUUGGAGACCGGGAGACUUCUUCAUCAAGGGAGCCUGGAAAGGAAGGAGAAAGAAGAUGGAGACAGAGCUGACAAGGGAGUUUGAUGACACAAGCAAAGGAAAAGCUAAGAACUAGGAGAUGACAAGAUCUGAGUAGGGAUUUACCUGCAGCCAGGAGACAAAGGAACAUAAAGCAGAUGGAUAUUGAGUACAUGACAGAGUUAGGGAAGAAACAGAUGCAGGUGGCUUUCUUUGAGGCUUCCCCAUCCCCCGUAAGCAGCUUCUCUGUGACGUGAUCACUUCACGGAAUCCAACAGACUUUGUUGUACUGCUCUGUACUUGACUCAAAAAUACUUCAUAGAAUAUGAGAAAGAGGGUUCACCCUAUCUCAGUUGGGUGAACCAUAUGAAAUUAUCACUUUGUAGGUGUCCUGAGGGUCUUUAGCAUCCUGGGACCUGUGAGUGAAGAAGGCAGAAUCUGCAUACAGCGCUAGGAGGAAGAUGGUAACACAGACCCAAAGAAAGCACUUUGAAUCAAGGCGUAGCAAUUCUGGAUGGAAUUUUUUGUGUUUUUGUUUUUGUAUUUACUUGUAUCCAGGAUUUACCUUCCUGAGGAUACAAAGAGUCACAGCACAGAAGAGCCAUGAGCAUAUGGCCAGUUUAGUACCUAACUGGGAUAUCUUCUUCCUCAAUGCUCUGAGUCUCCAUGGAAAGAAAAAAAAUCAGACUUUGGACCACCCAGGCCCUGGUAAUUUUUUUCUGGUGAUAUUAAUGUGCUUUUGGACUUCCAAAUGUUUGAGGUCCCUCUGACUUGGAACAAAAUCAGUCAUCUUCCCAAUGGCCCAGCCAUAAAAACCUCCAACACAGAAAUAGUAUAGGGUCAGGCUGGGUUUCCAGGGAAGCUCAUUUCAACAACUUCUCUAAUGUUCCUGAUAUAGUAGCAAUUUUCUUUCCCUAUAUCAGGGCAUUCAGUUUUUCCUAAUCAGCUUCUUCUUCCACUAUACCCCAUGAAGCCUCAGAGGUGCCCCACAGAGGACAGAUAGAUCUAGAUGGCCUUUGAGAUUUAUUUUCUUACUGUCUUUCCAGUAACUUAAGAGAGAAAUGGCUCAAUGAUCUGCAUUAGCUUACAGAUCAAGAUCCUCCUUUUUAGCAAAGCCAAGAAUUUUCUCUGACCAGGAAGAUCCCAUUAUUGCAUAGUCACAGAGAUAUACCCUGCCUUCUUGUCCCAAGAAAUACAUAGAAAAUUCAGGA